GGGUUGUGAGGUUAAGCGACUAAGCGUACACGGUGGAUGCCCUGGCAGUCAGAGGCGAUGAAGGACGUGCUAAUCUGCGAAAAGCGUCGGUAAGGUGAUAUGAACCGUUAUAGCCGGCGAUGUCCGAAUGGGGAAACCCAGUGUGAUUCGUCACACUAUCGUUAACUGAAUACAUAGGUUAACGAGGCGAACCGGGGGAACUGAAACAUCUAAGUACCCCGAGGAAAAGAAAUCAACCGAGAUUCCCCCAGUAGCGGCGAGCGAACGGGGAGCAGCCCAGAGUCUGAAUCAGCUUGUGUGUUAGUGGAACGGUCUGGAAAGUCCGACGGUACAGGGUGAUAGUCCCGUACACCAAAAUGCACAGGCUGUGAACUCGAAGAGUAGGGCGGGACACGUGGUAUCCUGUCUGAAUAUGGGGGGACCAUCCUCCAAGGCUAAAUACUCCUGACUGACCGAUAGUGAACCAGUACCGUGAGGGAAAGGCGAAAAGAACCCCGGCGAGGGGAGUGAAAAAGAACCUGAAACCGUGUACGUACAAGCAGUGGGAGCACCUUCGGGUGUGACUGCGUACCUUUUGUAUAAUGGGUCAGCGACUUAUAUUCUGUAGCAAGGUUAACCGUAUAGGGGAGCCGCAGGGAAACCGAGUCUUAACUGGGCGUUAAGUUGCAGGGUAUAGACCCGAAACCCGGUGAUCUAGCCAUGGGCAGGUUGAAGGUUGGGUAACACUAACUGGAGGACCGAACCGACUAAUGUUGAAAAAUUAGCGGAUGACUUGUGGCUGGGGGUGAAAGGCCAAUCAAACCGGGAGAUAGCUGGUUCUCCCCGAAAGCUAUUUAGGUAGCGCCUCGUGAACUCAUCUUCGGGGGUAGAGCACUGUUUCGGCUAGGGGGUCAUCCCGACUUACCAACCCGAUGCAAACUACGAAUACCGAAGAAUGUUAUCACGGGAGACACACGGCGGGUGCUAACGUCCGUCGUGAAGAGGGAAACAACCCAGACCGCCAGCUAAGGUCCCAAAGUCACAGUUAAGUGGGAAACGAUGUGGGAAGGCACAGACAGCCAGGAUGUUGGCUUAGAAGCAGCCAUCAUUUAAAGAAAGCGUAAUAGCUCACUGGUCGAGUCGGCCUGCGCGGAAGAUGUAACGGGGCUAAACUGUGCACCGAAGCUGCGGCAGCGACACUAUGUGUUGUUGGGUAGGGGAGCGUUCUGUAAGCCUGCGAAGGUGGCCUGUGAGGGUUGCUGGAGGUAUCAGAAGUGCGAAUGCUGACAUAAGUAACGAUAAUGCGGGUGAAAAGCCCGCACGCCGGAAGACCAAGGGUUCCUGUCCAACGUUAAUCGGGGCAGGGUGAGUCGACCCCUAAGGCGAGGCCGAAAGGCGUAGUCGAUGGGAAACAGGUUAAUAUUCCUGUACUUGGUGUUACUGCGAAGGGGGGACGGAGAAGGCUAUGUUAGCCGGGCGACGGUUGUCCCGGUUUAAGCAUGUAGGCGGAGGUUCCAGGUAAAUCCGGUACCUUUUAACGCUGAGGUGUGAUGACGAGGCACUACGGUGCUGAAGUAACAAAUGCCCUGCUUCCAGGAAAAGCCUCUAAGCAUCAGGUAACAUCAAAUCGUACCCCAAACCGACACAGGUGGUCAGGUAGAGAAUACCAAGGCGCUUGAGAGAACUCGGGUGAAGGAACUAGGCAAAAUGGUGCCGUAACUUCGGGAGAAGGCACGCUGAUAUGUAGGUGAAGCCCCUGCGGGUGGAGCUGAAAUCAGUCGAAGAUACCAGCUGGCUGCAACUGUUUAUUAAAAACACAGCACUGUGCAAACACGAAAGUGGACGUAUACGGUGUGACGCCUGCCCGGUGCCGGAAGGUUAAUUGAUGGGGUUAUCCGUAAGGAGAAGCUCUUGAUCGAAGCCCCGGUAAACGGCGGCCGUAACUAUAACGGUCCUAAGGUAGCGAAAUUCCUUGUCGGGUAAGUUCCGACCUGCACGAAUGGCGUAAUGAUGGCCAGGCUGUCUCCACCCGAGACUCAGUGAAAUUGAACUCGCUGUGAAGAUGCAGUGUACCCGCGGCAAGACGGAAAGACCCCGUGAACCUUUACUAUAGCUUGACACUGAACAUUGAGCCUUGAUGUGUAGGAUAGGUGGGAGGCUUUGAAGCGUGGACGCCAGUCUGCGUGGAGCCAACCUUGAAAUACCACCCUUUAAUGUUUGAUGUUCUAACGUUGGCCCCUAAUCGGGGUUGCGGACAGUGUCUGGUGGGUAGUUUGACUGGGGCGGUCUCCUCCCAAAGAGUAACGGAGGAGCACGAAGGUUAGCUAAUCCUGGUCGGACAUCAGGAGGUUAGUGCAAUGGCAUAAGCUAGCUUGACUGCGAGCGUGACGGCGCGAGCAGGUGCGAAAGCAGGUCAUAGUGAUCCGGUGGUUCUGAAUGGAAGGGCCAUCGCUCAACGGAUAAAAGGUACUCCGGGGAUAACAGGCUGAUACCGCCCAAGAGUUCAUAUCGACGGCGGUGUUUGGCACCUCGAUGUCGGCUCAUCACAUCCUGGGGCUGAAGUAGGUCCCAAGGGUAUGGCUGUUCGCCAUUUAAAGUGGUACGCGAGCUGGGUUUAGAACGUCGUGAGACAGUUCGGUCCCUAUCUGCCGUGGGCGCUGGAGAAUUGAGGGGGGCUGCUCCUAGUACGAGAGGACCGGAGUGGACGCAUCACUGGUGUUCGGGUUGUCAUGCCAAUGGCAUUGCCCGGUAGCUAAAUGCGGAAGAGAUAAGUGCUGAAAGCAUCUAAGCACGAAACUUGCCCCGAGAUGAGUUCUCCCUGAGACUUUAAGUCUCCUGAAGGAACGUUAAAGACGAUGACGUUGAUAGGUCGGGUGUGUAAGCGUAGCGAUACGUUGAGCUAACCGAUACUAAUGAACCGUGAGGCUUAACCUUACAACGCCGAAGCUGUU
rnacentral:rRNA from 1 species